AGGACCUGCAGUCUCCAGCCCCCAGCACCUUGAUGGGGUCUCUUCUUCAGUCCUUCCCCGUCACCCCGGGCUUCUGGGAGAGUGGACUGGGGUCGGGAGAAGAGUGGACCCGGUGAUCUCCGAUCCUUCGGCCUCUGGUUCCUCCAUCCAUAGCCAGUUCAUGAAGUGAUUUCCAGGCACAUCCUUGUUCAUGUAUGAUCUAUGUGUAUCCUGAAAACGAGUACCCCACAUAUAAUUACGUUCUCUGCCAA